rnacentral:ncRNA from 1 species
AUUUAUAAGAGUUUGAUCCUGGCUCAGGAUGAACGCUGGCGGCGUGCCUAACACAUGCAAGUCGAGCGGAGGCAAUGCUUAACACUGAGUAUUUAUUCAUAACACAUGAUGAGUAUUGAGUGUUAAGUAUUGCCUCAGCGGCGGACGGGUGAGUAACGCGUGGGUAACCUGCCCUGUACACUUGGAUAACACACCGAAAGGUGUGCUAAUACAAGAUGAUAUCAAAGGAAGGCAUCUUCUUUUGAUCAAAGCUUUUGCGGUACAGGAUGGACCCGCGUCCCAUUAGCUAGUUGGUGGGGUAAUGGCCUACCAAGGCGACGAUGGGUAGCCGACCUGAGAGGGUGA